GCUUCGCCAGGUUCGCGCGCUUCGCCAGGUUCGCGCGCCGGCGCCGGUCGGGCAGGCGCAGAGGUGGCGCGCGAGCCCGCGACCGCAGCCCACCUGGCGGCGGCGCUCCCAGCUUCCUCCUCCCGGCUCUCGCUCAGCGAGCCCUCGCUCUGCUCGCGCUCUUCCAGCCGCGGCGGCUCGCCGCUCCCGCGGGUUUCGUGCAGCCCGCGUGCCCCGUCCCUAGGUUGAGUUAAUUAAGAGAAGGUCUCCAUGGAAACGGUUGACACCUGAGAUUUCCACCCCUGGAAUUCACACCCUGUAUAAUCCGCACCCCCACCCCUGAGGUGGACCUGUAAAAAUGACGAGAUCAUCACUUCCAUGAUUAUGUUAUUUGUACAAGACUUCACUGUACCAGAACAAAAGAGACUUUCUCCUGCUGACUUUGAAGAAGUAAGUUGUCAUGAUGUGAGAGGGCCAGGUGGUUAGAACAUGAGCCUUGCCUCCUGGGGGCUGAGGAGUGUGCCCCAGCCUACAGCCAGCCAGAACACAGGGAUCUCAGUCCUACAAUCACAAGGAACUUAAAUGUGCCAGUAACUUGAAUGAGCCUGGAAAAAGAGGACCCACAGCUUCAGAUGAGAUCACAGUCCCAACUAACAACUUGACUUCAACCUGGUGAGAACCUGAGCAGAGCCCAGACUCCUGAUUCACAGAAACCAUCGGAUAAUAAAUGUUUGGAUUUAAGACAUGAAA